UACGUAGGGUCCGAGCGUUGUCCGGAAUUACUGGGCGUAAAGGGCGCGUAGGUGGUGGCUUAAGCGUGCGGUGAAAGCUCGGGGCUCAACUCCGAGUCGGCCGUGCGAACUGGGCUCACUGGAGCAUAGUAGAGGCAGGUGGAAUUCCGGGUGUAGCGGUGGAAUGCGUAGAGAUCCGGAAGAACACCGGUGGCGAAGGCGGCCUGCUGGGCUAUGGCUGACACUGAGGCGCGACAGCGUGGGGAGCAAACAGG
rnacentral:rRNA from 1 species